ACCCGCACAAGCAGCGGAGCGUGUGGUUUAAUUCGAUGCUACACGAAGAACCUUACCAGGGUUUGACAUGCAAGUGGUAGGAAACUGAAAAGGGACCGACCCUUCGGGGAGCUUGCACAGGUGCUGCAUGGCUGUCGUCAGCUCGUGUCGUGAGAUGUUCGGUUAAGUCCGCUAACGAGCGCAACCCUCACUGUGUGUUAUAUGUGUCACACGGGACUGCCGGUUUUAAGCCGGAGGAAGGUGGGAUGACGUCAAGUCAGCAUGGCCUUUAUAUCCUGGGCUACACACACGCUACAAUGGUCGGUACAAUAGGUUGCCAAGCCGCGAGGCGGAGCCAAUCCAAAAAAGCCGGCCUCAGUUCAGAUUGUAGGCUGCAACUCGCCUGCAUGAAGAUGGAGUUGCUAGUAACCGCAGGUCAGCAAUACUGCGGUGAAUACGUUCCCGGGUCUU
rnacentral:rRNA from 1 species